GGACUACACGGGUUUCUAAUCCCUUUUGCUCCCCACGCUUUCGUGCCUGAGCGUCAGUAAUUGUCCAGGUAACCGCCUUCGCCUCUGGUGUUCCUCACGAUAUCUACGCAUUUCACUGCUACACCGUGAAUUCCGUUACCCUCUCCAAUACUCUAGCCGAGUAGUUUCAGACGCAGUUCCGAGGUUGAGCCUCGGGAUUUCACAUCUGACACACCCGGCCGCCUGCGCACCCUUUACGCCCAGUGAAUCCGAAUAACGCUUGCAGUCUCUGUAUUACCGCGGCUGCUGGCAC
rnacentral:rRNA from 1 species